ACUACGGGUGGCUGCAGUGAGGAAUAUUGGUCAAUGGGCGGAAGCCUGAACCAGCCAAGUAGCGUGCAGGAUGACGGCCCUACGGGUUGUAAACUGCUUUUAUACGGGAAUAACGCGCCUUACGUGUAGGGCUUUGCAUGUACCGUAUGAAUAAGGACCGGCUAAUUCCGUGCCAGCAGCCGCGGUAAUACGGAAGGUCCGGGCGUUAUCCGGAUUUAUUGGGUUUAAAGGGAGCGUAGGCCGCAUGUCAAGCGUGCUGUGAAAUGUCCGGGCUCAACCCGGGCCUUGCAGCGCGAACUGGCGUGCUUGAGUCCGCGGAAAGCAGGCGGAAUUCGUCGUGUAGCGGUGAAAUGCUUAGAUAUGACGAAGAACCCCGAUUGCGAAGGCAGCUUGCUGCAGCGGAACUGACGCUGAUGCUCGAAAGCGCGGGUAUCGAACAGGAUUAGAUACCCCGGUAGUC
rnacentral:rRNA from 1 species